rnacentral:rRNA from 1 species
AGAGUUUGAUCCUGGCUCAGGAUGAACGCUGACAGAAUGCUUAACACAUGCAAGUCUACUUGAUUUAUGGUUUCGGCCGUAAUGAUGGUGGCGGACGGGUGAGUAACGCGUAAAGAAUCUGCCCUUUAGACUGGGAUAACAGUUGGAAACGACUGCUAAUACCGGAUAUUAUGGAACCAUCGCAUGAUGGAAUCAUGAAAGCUAUAUGCGCUAGAGGAGGACUUUGCGUCCCAUUAGCUAGUUGGUGAGGUAACGGCUCACCAAGGCGACGAUGGGUAGCCGGCCUGAGAGGGUGAUCGGCCACAAGGGAACUGAGACACGGUCCUUACUCCUACGGGAGGCAGCAGUGGGGAAUAUUGGACAAUGGGCCACAAGCCUGAUCCAGCAAUUCUGUGUGCACGAUGAAGGUCUUCGGAUUGUAAAGUGCUUUCAGUAGGGAAGAAUAAAUGACGGUACCUACAGAAGAAGCGACGGCUAAAUAUGUGCCAGCAGCCGCGGUAAUACAUAUGUCGCAAGCGUUAUCCGGAUUUAUUGGGCGUAAAGCGCGUCUAGGCGGUUUACUAAGUCUGAUGUGAAAAUGCGGGGCUCAACUCCGUAUUGCGUUGGAAACUGGUAGACUAGAGUACUGGAGAGGUGGGCGGAACUACAAGUGUAGAGGUGGAAUUCGUAGAUAUUUGUAGGAAUGCCGAUGGAGAAGUCAGCUCACUGGACAGAUACUGACGCUAAAGCGCGAAAGCGUGGGGAGCAAACAGGAUUAGAUACCCUGGUAGUCC